CCCCUAAGUUUCCAGCUCAACAGGUCAGGUGGGGCCUGGGAAUUUGAAUUUUUAGCAGGUUCCAGGUGAUGCUGAUGCUGCUAGUGGGGUGGGGGACUUCAGCUGAGAACCACUGCUGUGCAAAGGGGAGGUCUGGGAGCUGGUCUGGGGUCUGUGUUCUGUGCAGUGGCCCCAGGGCGGAGCAGACAGCAGCUGGCUGGGUCCAAGGUCAGGCUCAGGAGUUUGGAGGUGGGUAGAGGGCGAGGUUGUGGGUGACGUGGCUAAGGCUGCCUGGGAAGAAGUAGCCAGAGGUUGUGAAAGGGCUUGUUGGAGAGAGGAGGGUCUGGGGCCCUGGUGACAGCAAGGAGGGACCACGUGCCUCGCAGUAGCGUCGCCAGAGCCACCCCAGCGUCCCUGAUAGAUCCCCAGCUUCUGGGUCCCCCAGCCCAAAUCCUGGUGAGGUGCCCCAGAAAGGAAUGCAUUGUCCACGGACACCCAGGUUUGCACCAGGAUGACAAGCCUGGUUCUGCACUUGUCUUUGUUGAGGACGCAUCCGCCAGCAGCAGACACACACUGUGCCCUUCCAGACCACCGUGUGGGGCCAUGUGGGGCCAUGUGGGGCACGUGCUGGCUACGCAGGGCGCUGGACAAUCGUCCUUGAACAGACGGAAAGAGCAGAAAGGAAUACACAAAGGACAGGAAGGGAGCGGCUCCAAGGAGGUGUAAUUGGUGAAGAAACCGCCCCACCGGGGGCGUUGGUGCUCAGCCCUGUCUCCUGGGCCAGUGUGAAGGCCACUGCCGCGGAGAGCAUCCAAGCAGCCAAGCUCACGUGUUUAUGACCCACCCAAGUCCACAGAGCCGUAUGUGUCCACAGCAAGAGGAGUUCCAGAUGAGAAAAGCUCAAAAGGACGCGUGACUGAGAGCAGGUGUGGACGACACCUCCAGGAACCCCCAAGGUGCCGAGAGGCCUCCCCCAGGCCUACCUUCCUGCCCUCCCUCACCUGCCAGAGCCCUGGGGGGUGUGCUCAGUGCUGCCGCUUGGAUGCUCACCUGUGAAGGGUGCUGCGGAGCAAAGGGUUUCCCAGACCUGGGCAGGCACAGAGCCUCCGGGCGCUUGUGAGAGGCAGAAUAACGACCCCCAAAGAUGCCCACAUCCUAAUCCUGGAAGCUGGAGUACCUUACCUGACACGGCGAAGGGGGGUUUUAUUGCAGGUGGAAUUAGGUGACUAAUUAGCUGACCUUAAGAUGAGGAUCAUCCUGAAUUAUCCAG
rnacentral:lncRNA from 1 species